rnacentral:siRNA from 1 species
AGGCCGCCUGCAUUUCUGACUACCA